rnacentral:rRNA from 1 species
CCUACGGGUGGCAGCAGUCGAGAAUCAUUCACAAUGGGGGAAACCCUGAUGGUGCGACGCCGCGUGGGGGAAUGAAGGUCUUCGGAUUGUAAACCCCUGUCAUGUGGGAGCAAAUUAAAAAGAUAGUACCACAAGAGGAAGAGACGGCUAACUCUGUGCCAGCAGCCGCGGUAAUACAGAGGUCGCAAGCGUUGUUCGGAACCACUGGGCGUAAAGCGUGCGUAGGCUGUUUCGUAAGUCGGGUGUGAAAGGCGCGGGCUCAACCCGCGGACGGCACAUGAUACUGCGAGACUAGAGUAAUGGAGGGGGAACCGGAAUUCUCGGUGUAGCAGUGAAAUGCGUAGAUAUCGAGAGGAACACUCGUGGCGAAGGCGGGUUACUGGACAUUAACUGACGCUGAGGCACGAAGGCCAGGGGAGCGAAAGGGAUUAGAUACCCCAGUAGUC